CACUCCUGCGGGAGGCAGCAGUGGGGAAUUUUGGACAAUGGGCGAAAGCCUGAUCCAGCCAUGCCGCGUGCAGGAUGAAGGCCUUCGGGUUGUAAACUGCUUUUGUACGGAACGAAACGGCCUUUUCUAAUAAAGAGGGCUAAUGACGGUACCGUAAGAAUAAGCACCGGCUAACUACGUGCCAGCAGCCGCGGUAAUACGUAGGGUGCAAGCGUUAAUCGGAAUUACUGGGCGUAAAGCGUGCGCAGGCGGUUAUGUAAGACAGUUGUGAAAUCCCCGGGCUCAACCUGGGAACUGCAUCUGUGACUGCAUAGCUAGAGUACGGUAGAGGGGGAUGGAAUUCCGCGUGUAGCAGUGAAAUGCGUAGAUAUGCGGAGGAACACCGAUGGCGAAGGCAAUCCCCUGGACCUGUACUGACGCUCAUGCACGAAAGCGUGGGGAGCAAACAGGAUUAGAUACCCCAGUAGUCCCA
rnacentral:rRNA from 1 species